rnacentral:lncRNA from 1 species
UUACAGAAUGAAAAUGUGAACAUUUUCCCCAGCGGAAUAAUUGUCAGCCCAUUCUCACCUUGGCUGGCAGCAAGUCCGGACAGAAAAUUGUACAAUCCAGCCAUGUUGCCACCAUACGGACUGCUUGAGAUCAAAUGUCCAGUGAAGCCGCUGGUUGAUUGUUUGUACUUAAGAAAGGAUGAUGAUGGUAACCUGACAUUAAAGAAAAAUCAUAAUUAUUAUCAACAAGUGAUUAUGCAACUUGCUGUUACUGGUCUUAAGUGGUGCCAUUUUUAUGUUUGGAGGGCUGAUGAGCAACAUCUUGAGACCAUAGAAUUUGAUGAUGAAGAGUGGGGAAGAAUGAAGACAAAACUUGACUUAUUUUAUUUUAAUUAUUUUUUGGAUUAAUCAGUAUUAUAAAUAUUCCUUAGGCCAAAUAAAAUAAUAUGUGUGUUUCCUUUUACAUAUUUGAAAAAAUUGGGUAGGAAGCUAGGGAAUUAUUUUUAUUUUACACUUAAUUUCUACAUUUAGUCCGAGAGAGAUUGCGACUUUAUCAGUGCUUAUAAAAAAAUGUGAAAAAUAAACUUUUAAGAUACACUAGUAUCAUGAUUAUUUAGCUUAAAAUUUCAGGUAGGUUGGGAAAUAUGAAACACACCUAUUGUUUUAUUUGGCCUUUCUGUGGUACCUAGACUAAAAUAAAUUCCUGCUCCUUUAAUUUUUAUUAAAUUUGACAAAAUAUUUACUUUGACCCUUAACUUUGACAAAAUUAUAAACAUUAAUAAAAAAUUUACAGCUAAUUUCCUACUGCAUGUAGAGCAAGACUUGGGUUAGCUUGCUUGCUUUGUUUGUAGUUGUAUAUUGUACAAUUGUAAUUGGGAUAACAUUCAAUCAAAUUUAGGUAUAAUAUAUAUAUACAGGUUUAACUAUGCCUAUAUAUUGUUUGAAGAAGUCAAUGUUAAUUACAAAGCGUGAAUUAAUGUUUAUACAAACAGAGCAAGCAAGCCUUCCAAAGUUUUACUCUACAAGCAUUAGGAAAUUAGCUGUAACCAAACACUUUCUUUGCAAAUUUACCUUGAAUAAAACAUUACAAUGUAGUUUGACAAACAUUAAUUUUGAUCAUUGAGAAGCUUUCUAUUUCCCUAAAAAUACAAUGUGAUUAUCUUGGCAUUAAAAAAUAAAGACCUAACACUUGUGAUACAUGUAUAAGUAUCUAUGAUGUUUCUGUUCAAUCACUUUAUCUAUUGACAAAUCUAAUAUUCACUGCCACUGCUUUACAAGUGGACCUCUGAAAAGUGUCAGAAUAUUAGCAACAGUCCAAAUUUGAUUGAUUGAACCAAUCAUGCUCAGAGGUAUAGGUCUGUCAAAAAGGUGAAAUUCUUUUACUCUUCUAAUGUGCCUUUCAACAUGUAUCCUAAGGCGAGCAAUAGUUUGAGUUUCCUCUACCUUCUGCUUAGUGAACUGACCCUUAUUUAUAAGGAAUGGGGGUGUAUUGACAGUUAUGCCAGUUCCAGAUAAAACAUUAUUUAAUACAAAACCUUUAUCAGCCAUAAUGAAAUCACCUUCCUCUAAAAGUUCAACUAAACCACAAAGCUUUGUUAUCUCAACAUCAGACAUACUACCAGUAUACAAUGAAGAAAUAAAAAUAAGGGCACCAUGUGGUGCAAUACCAACAAGACUUUUAAAAGUAUGUGUACUCUUGUAAGUAGAAUAAAACUUAGAAUUGAGAGCCAAAGAUGAUGGUCUCUCAGUUGGUAUCUCA